UGACACACCAGCACAUUCCAUAGUCAUACAUGUAAAUAUUAUUAUCCCUCAUUGAUAUACUUGAAGAGAAUUGAGUGAGUUGCACUAUAUUUUUAGAAUUACCGCUAAUCCUCAGCUGUUACCAAACAAUCAGAGAGAACAAGAGCUUGGCAGGAACAUCAAGAUUAUGCGAGUUUCUUGGAAUUGAACAAAGCUAAAGGGAUGAUACGGAAUCUCGAUAUGUGCUGAUGUACUUCUUACGAGCAAGUUGUUGAACAUUACCGCACGUAAUGUGGCGGCUGCUGCGACUCGUGGUGCUUUGGGCGCACAACCUUCGCCUGCUCACCCCGGCGUCCACAGCAACGACCACUGCUCCUUCUGUGAUGCUCAUGCCCGCGAGAUGGACAUGGGCUGCAUCAAGGACUCGUACGACGGUGCGCAGAGCGAGUAUGGCCUGGAGAGCCUCGACGAUGGCACGCACAGAUGAGCAGCUGCUCUGCAGCGGCAAGUCUUGUGACUGCAAUUGAACGACAUGAUAGAGAGGUGCUAGAUACAGAGUUAAGGUUUUGCUUAUUUAUUUGCUGAGUUUGAUACACUUUGGGAGAAGCGUGUAAUGGUUGCAUAUUGUAACCAGGUAUAGGUCACUGAUAUUUAUUCCUUAGGUUUAACAUACUUUUAGCUCUAAUGGAUUUGGUUUGCCUUGCUGUCAUUCAUUCAAAAAAAAAAUCUAAG